CCUACGGGUCGCAGCAGUGGGGAAUAUUGCACAAUGGGGGAAACCCUGAUGCAGCAACGCCGCGUGAGUGAAGAAGUAUUUCGGUAUGUAAAGCUCUAUCAGCAGGGAAGAUAAUGACGGUACCUGACUAAGAAGCCCCGGCUAACUACGUACCAGCAGCCGCGGUAAUACGUAGGGGGCAAGCGUUAUCCGGAUUUACUGGGUGUAAAGGGAGCGUAGGUGGCAGGGCAAGUCAGAUGUGAAAACCCGGGGCUCAACCCCGGGAGUGCAUUUGAAACUGUCCGGCUGGAGUGCAGGAGAGGAAG
rnacentral:rRNA from 1 species